rnacentral:rRNA from 1 species
UGGGGAAUAUUGGACAAUGGGGGGAACCCUGAUCCAGCCAUGCCGCGUGUGUGAAGAAGGCCUUUUGGUUGUAAAGCACUUUAAGCGAGGAGGAGGAGCUCUAGAUUAAUACUCUAGAUGCUUGGACGUUACUCGCAGAAUAAGCACCGGCUAACUCUGUGCCAGCAGCCGCGGUAAUACAGAGGGUGCAAGCGUUAAUCGGAUUUACUGGGCGUAAAGCGUGCGUAGGUGGUCUUUUAAGUCGGAUGUG